CCUACGGGGUGCUGCAGUGGGGAAUAUUGGACAAUGGGCGAAAGCCUGAUCCAGCCAUGCCGCGUGUGUGAAGAAGGCCUUCGGGUUGUAAAGCACUUUCAGUGGGGAAGAAAGCCUUGGGGCUAAUACCCUCGAGGAAGGACAUCACCCACAGAAGAAGCACCGGCUAACUCCGUGCCAGCAGCCGCGGUAAUACGGAGGGUGCGAGCGUUAAUCGGAAUUACUGGGCGUAAAGCGCGCGUAGGCGGUCUGAUAAGCCGGUUGUGAAAGCCCCGGGCUCAACCUGGGAACGGCAUCCGGAACUGUCAGGCUAGAGUGCAGGAGAGGAAGGUAGAAUUCCCGGUGUAGCGGUGAAAUGCGUAGAGAUCGGGAGGAAUACCAGCGGCGAAGGCGGCCUUCUGGACUGACACUGACGCUGAGGUGCGAAAGCGUGGGUAGCAAACAGGAUUAGAUACCCCAGUAGUC
rnacentral:rRNA from 1 species